rnacentral:rRNA from 1 species
GACGAACGCUGGCGGCGUGCUUAACACAUGUCAGUAGAACGGAAAGGCUACGCUUUUGUUGCGUGCUCGAGUGGCGAACGGGUAAGAAAUACGUGAGUAAACCGGCCAUGUCAUUGGGUUAAUUUCUGGAAACUUGGGCCAAUACAGGCUAGGGACAUCUGUCGCAUGUUGGGGGUCAGAAUGUUUCGGCGGUUGGGGUUGGCCUCGCGGCUAAUCAUUUUGUUGGUGGGGUAGUGUCUUAUCUACGCUUUGAUGGGUAGCCGGCAUGAGCGGGUGACCGGCCACAUUGGGACUGAGAGACCGCCCAGACUACUACGGGAGGCAGCAGUGGGGAAUAUUGCACAAUGGGCGGAAGCCUGAUGCAGCAACGCCGCGUGCGGGAUGACGGCCGUCGGGUUGUAAACCGCUUUCGCCUGUGACGAAGCGUGAGUGACGGUAAUGGGUAAAGAAGCACCGGCUAACUACGUG